AAUGAAUAUUAAUUAUAUAUUGUUAUAUAACUACGGUACCUAUAACAUACUUAUUGUUGAGAACCCUUGGUUUAAAACAUAGUUUGUAUUUAGCUAAGUAAGCAAUAUAUUAUUUUUUGGUAACGUCUUCCGUCGCCGAGCGCAUGAAAUGCGAACGACGACGGCAGUCGAGUUAAAACAACGAUUCCGUAUAGUUAUACGUAGAACCUAUUAAAUGUCUUUUUAAAUAAA